UACGUAGGGGGCUAGCGUUGUCCGGAAUCAUUGGGCGUAAAGAGCGUGUAGGCGGCCCGGUAAGUCCGCUGUAAAAGUCAAAGGCUCAACCUUUGAAUGUCAGUGGAUACUGCCAGGCUAGAGUCCGGAAGAGGCGAGUGGAACUCCUGGUGUAGCGGUGGAAUGCGCAGAUAUCAGGAGGAACACCAAUGGCGAAGGCAGAUCUCUGGGCCGUAACUGACGCUGAGGAGCGAAAGCAUGGGGAGCGAACAGG
rnacentral:rRNA from 1 species